rnacentral:lncRNA from 1 species
CCGGAAGAAUUACAGUAGAGAGUAUUGGCUUCCUGUGAGAGGCUUUGAUCUGAACAUAAACGAAGGCAACGCUGUACCCAAGGCAGAAUAGAAAGUUCUGGUAAAUGGGGCAUGCAGGAAGGUGAAAACAGAGCUCAUAUUAGUGCUUGUUUUCCUGUGCAAUUAAGUCAAGUCAUCUGCUGAGAGGGUUGGGGGACAUGGGGUUGCAGGCUGAAGAGAGGUAUGAAAUAGGCCUCUUGGGUAGUGCUGAGUGCUUAUUCCAGGCCC